GUCAAGGUCUCCGUUGGUGAACCAGCGGAGGGAUCAUUA
rnacentral:rRNA from 1 species